AGAGGCUUCCGGCGCCGAGACCGAGAUCCCCGUCGGCUCGGUGUAUCCUCGCUGGUGGAGUACCCUCUGCUUGAGCGCAUCUCAUGCGCCAGUAGUGGCGCCCGCCCCGAACGGUGUCGACGGGGCGUUCUCUGAGCGGUUCAGGGUCACUGGAAGGGACCAGAGGUGAUUGGAAUAUUCAUUGAGCUUGGAAAGGGGUUGGAAUGAGAGAACCGUUUGGAAGCACUGGAAUACAGCUUUAUUCCUACACGAUUAGACCCGUUACCCCGUGGGUCUGGCCGACCGUCCUGACUCGGAGAUCCCUGAGCUGCGCCGCCGCUUCCUUCGUCAACAUCCAGCAGCUACUUGAUGAGCGCCCUCCAGUGGGCCUUAGGUCCCUAUGCCGGCGCGGGGUUACAGCAGUGGACAGACAGGCCAGUCCCUGUCCUCGAGGAGCCCAUGAUCCGCGGGGAGACAGGCAUUUAACGACGACUCACACGAUCACUUAAAUACAACUGUGGUGAACCGCACAAGAGGGACGCGCGGCGGUCUGCGGGGAAUGACGAGGCCGACCUCGUCUGCGACCCAGGGAGGGCAAGGGUGGACCAGGCAAAGGGAACAGAGGACUGGGACCUGGAGGUGGGCGGGAGGCGUUUGGUUCAUUGGAGGAAAGGAAUAGCCCUGUGUGUGAUGAGCAUUGAGAGGAGGUCUGGCGAGCACCAUCUAGGGCUGAAGAACUAGGCAGUGGCUCCAGCGCGGGGCGGUGGGGGGGACAAGUGAGCCAGGGCAAGAAGAAUGGAUUUGGCCCUAGAGUACGGGUUCUCCAAAUGUAACCUCGGCCCUACAGAUCUCUGAGACUAUGUCAGGGGGUUUGUGAGAUUUUAUAACAAAAUUAAGAUGUUAGUACAAUAUCGUGUUUCGCCGCCGGGCGCGGUGGCUCACGCCUGUAAUCCCAGCACUUUGGGAGGCCGAGGCGGGCAGAUCACAAGGUCAGGAGAUCGAGACCAUCCUGGCUAACACGGUGAAACCCCGUCUCUACUAAAAACACAAAAAGUUAGCCGGGCGUGGUGGCGGGCCCCUGUAGUCCCAGCUACUCGGGAAGCUGAGGCAGGAGAAUGGCGUGAACCCGGGAGGCGGAGCGUGCCGUGAGCCGAGAUCGUGCCACUGCACUCCAGCCUGGGCAACAGAGCGAGACUCUGUCUCAGAAAAAAAGAAAGAUUAUUUGCAGCCGGGCGCGGUGGCUCACGCGGGUAAUCCCAAUACUUUGGGAGGCCGAGGCGGGCGGAUCACCAGGUUAGGAGAUCGAGACCAUCCUGGCUAACACGGUGAAACCCCGUCUCUACUAAAAAAUACAAAAUAUUAGCCAGGCAUGGUGGAGGACGCCUGUAGUCCGAGCUACUUGGGAGGCUGAGGCAGGAGAAUGGCGUGAACCCGAGAGGCGGAGCUUGCAGUGAGCCGAGAUCGCGCCACUGCACUCCAGCCUGGGCGACAGAGCGAGACUCCGUCUCAAAAAAAAAAAAAAAAAAGUUUUUUGCCUUCUUCAUUCUAUAAGUGUACAGUGGAGUUUUUCAGAAGCUACAUGAUAUGUAUUGACACCAUGGUUCCCACGAUGAAUAGAAUGUGUGCCUAUGUAUUCUCGUGUUUUAAAUUUUUCUCAC
rnacentral:lncRNA from 1 species